UUUAAUACGUACGGAUGCUACUCUAUUAGAA
rnacentral:piRNA from 1 species